ensembl:lncRNA novel transcript
CUGCUGGAUCAUUUUGAGGACAGAGGCAUGAGGGAGCACAUCUCUUGUGAAGUUGCAGCCAGAUUUGUAACCAACCCUGAAAUUCAUCAGCUUAAUUCAUUUAUCAGCUUGAUUCAUUCAUCAUUCAUUGCUUAUAUCCAAAGCAAAGACGCUUUAUAACAGCUCAACUUGUGUCCAGGUUUAAAGGUGGCUGUCCUGUCCCAGACUUUCAGCCAGUAACCACCAUAGCACAUUCACGGUGAACCCCUCAUAUGUGGGUAGAUGCUUUAUGUAUCCUUGAAUGAAAGAACAUGUCUGGGUUGACAGAGGACUCACUGCUCACUGUGGAACAAUCACAGAUGGCUAUAUCUGACACAGACACACAGCAGGUUAUUCCUGAAGAAACAACCAGCCUGGUGGACUGGAUAAAAGGCACUAUGAGGUAUGUUUACUCUGAGAAGUGAGGCUGUCCAACUCCCCCUAUAAAUGUUAAAAGCAACACUCUGAUGAAGUACCUGAUAAACUGUGUAUGCAAGUCA